rnacentral:rRNA from 1 species
UGAAUACGAGACGCUAAGGCGUCGAAGUAGUGUAUGUCAUACUUCCAAGAAAAGCUUGCACUGUCAUAGAUAAAAAACGCCUGUACCAUAACCGACACAGGUGGGUAGGUAGAGUAUACUAAGGGGCGCGAGAUAACUCUCUCUAAGGAACUCGGCAAAAUAACUCCGUAACUUCGGGAGAAGGAGUGCCUUAUUCGUAAGGUUGCAAUAACAAGAUCCAAGCAACUGUUUAUCAAAAACACAGGUCUCCGCUAAGUCGUAAGACGAUGUAUGGGGGCUGACGCCUGCCCAGUGCCAGAAGGUUAAAGAAGUUGGUUAGCAAUUGCGAAGCUGAUAACUGAAGCCCUGGUGAACGGCGGCCGUAACGAUAACGGUCCUAAGGUAGCGAAAUUCCUUGUCGGGUAAGUUCCGACCCGCACGAAAGGCGUAAUGGUUUGGAUACAGUCUCGGAGAGGGGCUCGGUGAAAUAGACUUGUCUGUGAAGAUGCGGACUACCUGCACCAGGACAGAAAGACCCUAUGAAGCUUUACUGUAACUUGAAAUUGAAAUUGGACUUUAUUCGCGCAGUAUAGGUGGGAGGCGUUGAUUAUAAUCUUGUGGGAUUAUUGGAGCCAUCAGUGAGAUACCACUCUUGUAAUGUUAGAUUUCUAACUUUGAAUCAUUAUCUGGUCAAAGAACAGUUUCAGGCGGGCAGUUUGACUGGGGCGGUCGCCUCCUAAACGGUAACGGAGGCGUACAAAGGUUUCCUCUGAACGGUUAGAAAUCGUAUCUAGAGUGUAAAGGCAUAAGGAAGCUUGACUGUGAGACCUACAAGUCGAGCAGGGACGAAAGUCGGUCUUAGUGAUCUGACGGUACUGAGUGGAAGGGCCGUCACUCAACGGAUAAAAGUUACUCUAAGGAUAACAGGCUGAUCUCCCCCAAGAGUUCACAUCGACGGGGAGGUUUGGCACCUCGAUGUCGGCUCAUCGCAUCCUGGGGCGGUAGUACGUCCCAAGGGUUGGGCUGUUCGCCCAUGAAAGCGGUACGCGAGCUGGGUUCAGAACGUCGUGAGACAGUUCGGUCCAUAUCCGGUGUAGGCGUUAGAAUAUUGAGAGGAGCCUUCUUUAGUACGAGAGGACCGAGAAGGACAUACCUCUGGUGUACCAGUUAUCGUGCCAACGGUAAACGCUGGGUAGCUAUGUAUGGAGUGGAUAACCGCUGAAAGCAUCUAAGUGGGAAGCCCACCUCAAGAUAAGUAUUCUCAC